rnacentral:lncRNA from 1 species
CAUCAACUCAAACCUGACCAUAAAAUCCAGCACAUUCACCACCAGCCAGCCUUUUCCUCUUGCAAGUUCCCUCUCUCUCACUAGAGAGAGAGAGCUGUUUUUCUUUCUCUUUCUUUUGUCUAUUAAACCCCUGCUCCUAAACUCGUGUGUGUCCGUGUCCUAAACUCUCCUGGCACCAGAAGAACCCUGAUUAUUUACCCAGACAACUGUAGCUGCUUCAAAGGAAAGUGGAUUGUACAAGCACGCACAGUUCA